GCAGUGACUGGUUCUGGUCCCGGGGCUGUGCUAGGUGCCACAAUGGGGAGGGAGGUGGCCCCGGGAGCAUGGGUGCUGCUGCGUCACCGCGGGCAGAGGGGAAGGCACGGGGACAUCCUCUGUGCCUGUCCCGGAGGAUGUUCCUUCACCAAACCUGGGCACAGCUGGCCUGUAGGCAGCAUGGACCUGUCCCACCUCACCCCAUCCCACCCCAGGGUGCAGAACUGGGACAAGAUUUGUCACGUCCCCGCUCAAGGAGCACCAGGCAGGGCCGUGGCCAUCUCGUUGCAGCCGCCGUGCGCGGAGCCCAGGCCUGGGUCGCGAGAGGAAAUGCUCUUGACCAUCUGCUGCUGCUCUAAGAAAUGAGUCUUGGAGAUUGUUUACUACCAGAAAUAUUGUGCCGUGGGGUGAGGUGCAGAUGCAGAUGUGCUGCAGGACGGGCCUGCAUCCCAAGGCGCUGCUCCUCCCCAGGCCUGGCACCUGCUUUAGCUGCUGUUAUCGAGCAUCUGCAAGACAAUAAAAGAUUUUUCUGACCACCCCCCUCCCUGCUUGCUCCCACAUGUUUGAGUUUGGCUUGGCAUUAAACGUGGUUUCUGUUCCUUCUCCC